AUUGAACGCUGGCGGCAGGCCUAACACAUGCAAGUCGAGCGAGCGGCGGAUGGGUGAGACAUGCCUAGGAAUUGUCCAGUCGAGGGGGAAAACUGUUGGAGACGACUGAUAACACCGAAUCCGAUUGGAUUGCCCAGGUGGGAUUAGCUUGUUGGGGAGGUAAUGGCUCACCAAGGCGACGACCCCGAGCUGGUCUGAGAGGAUGAGCAGCCAAACUGGAACUUAGACACGGGGCAGAGUCCUACGGGAGGCAGCAGGGGGGAAGAGUGCACAAUGGGGGAAACCCUGAUGCAGCCAUGCCGCGUGGGUGAAGAAGGCCUGCGGGUUGUAAAGCACUUACAGCGAGGAGGCGUUACGCGCAGAAGAAGCACCGGCUAACUCCGUGCCAGCCGCCGCGGUAAUAC
rnacentral:rRNA from 1 species